GCGAAGCCAGCGUUAAAUCCCGGGUGUUGAACAAGCCCGUAGCCACUUCUUUAUAGUAAAUUGUACGAUCUAGUUUGGUGGGCGUAUCGCCUUGAAUCUUUCUUCAAGGCGAGCGAAGCUAAGGUUUCGAUAGUAACGUUAUCAAUGGGUUAUCUGUUUUUGUUGUCUUUUUUUGUUAUAUCUCCUCUGGUUUAACUUCAGCCAUUAUCCUUACUAUGUUUGCCUUUCGGCUAUCUCGGUCGUGUUAUUACCACG
rnacentral:misc_RNA from 1 species